CCUGUGUCUCUCUCUCAGCCCCACGGGGCUCCUGGCUGGAACACGGGAAUGGCCGGAGGGGAAGGGGAGCGUGGGUUCAUGGGAGGAGAGACUGAUCCAGCCAAGUGGGGAGGGACAGUGACGUGCUCACACCCUUGUGCUCUCUCCAGCUGGAGCGGGACAGGAGCAGAGCUCAAGAGCUCUUGAGUCAGAGCCUGCCGUACCUGAGGGACGCUCAGGCCAGCUUGCGAGAGGCGGCCGUGAGGUUCAUCGGGCUGGCUGCGCGGCCCCUGAGGGACCGAAGGGAGGAGGAGGAGCUGGCUGAGAUCUGCAGCGCCCUUCAGCCCUUGGAGUGGGACAGCGAACCCUCCAUCUGCUCCCUGGCAGCCCAGACCAUCCGCAUCCUGGGCAACCCAAGGGAGCAGCCACGAUCGCGAUGGACCCUGCGAGCCCUGUGCUGCUGGCCCCGCUAAGCCCGGCGGAGGUGCAGCUCUUCUCGGGAGGAGGGCUGGAUUUAAUAAAGCUGGAGGAGAAUGCCAAAGCCCUGGUGUCCUUCAGCUGUGCAGCGCCCUGAGCGUGCUGAGCAGACGGUGUCGUUCCUGGGCUCUCCCGCUGCCGCAGGACGUCUGUCCCUCAGCACAGCCCGGUUCCAGGCGCAGUUACGGUGCCGGCGGGCGGGCGCUCGCGGGCCCCAGGCCCUGCCCUGCAGGGGUACGCAGGGGAGGCAGAUGGCCGUGCGGCACGGCAGGCACGGGGGCAGCAAAGACACGCAGUUUUACAGCAGGGCUGGUCCCAGCGCCCCAGGAGCUGUUUCCCACUGGUUUGCCCUCAGCUCCCGCCAUCCCCAGAGGGUUUCCACAGCGCCGUCUCAGCGAGCGAGACCCUCUGCUCCGGGCUGCCCGGCCUCGUCUCUCACGCUGCCCUCCCCUCCUCGCCAGCAGCUGCCGCCCGGCGCUUUCACCCUGUCCUGGAGCCGCUUUCCCAGCGGCACUGCCGGGCUGAG